rnacentral:rRNA from 1 species
GUAGGUGGCAAGCGUUGUCCGGAAUUAUUGGGCGUAAAGCGCGCGCAGGCGGUUCUUUAAGUCUGAUGUGAAAGCCCACGGCUCAACCGUGGAGGGUCAUUGGAAACUGGAGAACUUGAGUACAGAAGAGGAAAGCGGAAUUCCACGUGUAGCGGUGAAAUGCGUAGAGAUGUGGAGGAACACCAGUGGCGAAGGCAGCUUUCUGGUCUGUAACUGACGCUGAGGCGCGAAAGCGUGGGGGAGCAAACAGGAUUAGAUACCCUGGUAGUCCACGCCGUAAACGAUGAGUGCUAAGUGUUAGGGGGUUUCCGCCCCUUAGUGCUGCAGCUAACGCAUUAAGCACUCCGCCUGGGAGUACGGCCGCAAGGCUG